AUUGAACGCUGGCGGCAUGCCUUACACAUGCAAGUCGAACGGUAACAGGUCUUCGGAUGCUGACGAGUGGCGAACGGGUGAGUAAUACAUCGGAACGUGCCCGAUCGUGGGGGAUAACGAAGCGAAAGCUUUGCUAAUACCGCAUACGAUCUAAGGGUGAAAGCAGGGGACCGAAAGGCCUUGCGCGAACGGAGCGGCCGAUGGCAGAUUAGGUAGUUGGUGGGCUAAAAGCUUACCAAGCCGACGAUCUGUAGCCGGUCUGAGAGGACGACCAGCCACACUGGGACUGAGACACGGCCCAGACUCCUACGGGAGGCAGCAGUGGGGAAUUUUGGACAAUGGGCGAAAGCCUGAUCCAGCCAUGCCGCGUGCAGGAUGAAGGCCUUCGGGUUGUAAACUGCUUUUGUACGGAACGAAAAGACUCUGGUUAAUACCUGGGGUCCAUGACGGUACCGUAAGAAUAAGCACCGGCUAACUACGUGCCAUCCGCCGCCGUAA
rnacentral:rRNA from 1 species